rnacentral:misc_RNA from 1 species
GAUGAAGAACGCAGCGAAAUGCGAUAAGUAAUGUGAAUUGCAGAGUUUUGUGAAUCAUCGAAUCUUUGAACGCACAUUGCGCCCUCUGGUAUUCCGGAGGGCAUGCCUGUCCGAGCGUCAUUGCUGCCCUCAAGCACGGCUUGUGUGUUAGGCCCCGUCCUCCGCUCGCGGGGGACGGGCCUGAAAGGCAGCGGCGGCACCGCGUCCGGUCCUCGAGCGUAUGGGGCUUUGUCACCCGCUCUGUAGGCCCGGCCGGCGCCUGCCGAUCAACCACACUUUUAUUCAGGUUGACCUCGGAUCAGGUAGGGAUACCCGCUGAACUUAAGCAUAUCAAUAAGCGGAGGA